UGAUGAGAUGAUCCAAAGGUC
rnacentral:siRNA from 1 species